UGUGAGCCACCAUGCCUGGCAGAGAGUUGUGUGUUGAUAAAAUGACCCUCAACAGUGCCCAGAGUGUGUUAAAAUCUCAAAGAACUCAGAAGUGAAGAGAAGAUGGUGUGUUUUGGAAAACAGAGUUAGAAGACGCAAGAAGUACUUCUUGAAGAUGAGGACACUGAUAUUGACGACACAGGUGAUGGAGGUGAGCAAAGGGACUUGAGUGCCAAGCAGAAGAAGCGCGUCUUCCAAAUUCAUGCACUGCAUGAGGGUGAGGCAGCCACUGUACCGUCAACCCAGACAUUUAUAAGAGGUGGCGCCGUGGGCUUGUUCUUCUUUACACAAAUUCUAGUUGGGUGUUUGUGGGUGGUCUUCCGCAAGGCGGCUCAGGGCCCAGGCCCUUUCCUUGUGGUGGCUUCACCAUCUCCUAGGUACCAGUGUCUCGGGAGGAUUCCUGGCAUCCAGCCAGCAGAUGGUGAAGACUUGGGAAGGAUGGGUGUGGGGAGUUUCCAAGGCCAGGUGUGCCCACCAUUAUGUCCCAGUCUCACUGGACAGACUGUCAUGUGACCGUCCUGAGUGCAAGGCUGGGAAAUGGAGACGACCUGCAUUGUCAGGAGUAAGAGGAAGCAAUGUGAUGGACGGCCGGCUAGUCUCUACCCCACACCCUGUCUUAUCUCGCUUUUGAUUUCAAAAAGCAUUUCUAAUUUAAUUAAUGAUUUACAGUGUAUAAGCACUCUUGUGACUUUUCCAUCCACAAUCAAAACAUUGACAUAUUCAAGAGGGAUAGAAAACAUUUAGAGGAUCCAGUUGGACAUUGACCUGUAUUUAUGAUUCCCUUGUAUGUAGGACAAGUGUUAGUUCUUGGUUUGGAAAGAUGUUUGCACUAGAUUCAGCGAAAAAAGCAAGUUGAAGAAGAGUUCACAGCUACAGAGUUCCUACUGUCACCUGCACGUCAACAACUCGGGAGAUACUCAUGGCAGGCCUUCAUGUGCCAGACCAGGGUUCAGGGCAGCGAGGCACUCAUGCCUGCCGGCAGGAGGCUUACCCCCUUCAUCCGGAAGGUUCCACAAAGCCAAGUAGGGUAGGAAAGCGUGGGCAAGAAUGAGAAGGAGGUGCACAAAGGCCAGGCAGCACUGAGAUCUGACGGACUGGUGUCUGCUCAAGAGAAUUCAAACAGGCGCUCAGACAGAUACCAUAGCAGCAUUAUCCACAAUAGCCAGAGGCUGGACACUACCAAGGGUCUGUCACUGAUGAACAGGUAAACACAGCGUGGUCCGUGCAUCCAAUGUAGUGUUACUUGGCCACGAAAAGGAAAGAAGUUCUGAGUCCCACCACAGCCUGGCCUGGAAACCGUGAUGCAGUCAUAAAUGUGACGGCAUAUUGUAAUUCCGUGUAUGUGAAAUGUCUGCAGUAGGCAAAUCCAUAAACACAUAAAGUUCACAAGUGGUUGCCAGGAGUCGGGGCAGGAGUCAGGAGGGGGAGUGGGAGUGGCUGCUAAUGGAGACGGGGAUUCUGUUUUGGGGUUAAGGGAGUGCCCUGGUGCUAGACGGAUGGUGCUGCUGGUUGCAACAACUCUGUGAAUGUACUAAAUGCCACUGUAUUGUCCAGGUUAAAAUAGGCAGGGUGGCAUGGUGGCACACACCUAUAGUGCUAGCUACUCGGGAGGCUGAG